AGACGUAGAUAGGCAGGGUGUGUAAGCGCGGUGACGCGUUGAGCUAACCUGUACUAAUGACCCGUGCGGCUUAACCAU
rnacentral:rRNA from 1 species